rnacentral:rRNA from 1 species
GAUGAACGCUGACGGCAGGCCUAACACAUGCAAGUCGAGCGGAUGAAGAGAGCUUGCUCUCUGAUUUAGCGGCGGACGGGUGAGUAAUGCCUAGGAAUCUGCCUGGUAGUGGGGGAUAACGUUCCGAAAGGAACGCUAAUACCGCAUACGUCCUACGGGAGAAAGCAGGGGACCUUCGGGCCUUGCGCUAUCAGAUGAGCCUAGGUCGGAUUAGCUAGUUGGUGAGGUAAUGGCUCACCAAGGCGACGAUCCGUAACUGGACUGAGAGGAUGUUCAGUCACACUGGAACUGAGACACGGUCCAGACUCCUACGGGAGGCAGCAGUGGGGAAUAUUGGACAAUGGGCGAAAGCCUGAUCCAGCCAGGCCGCGUGUGUGAAGAAGGUCUUCGGAUUGUAAAGCACUUUAAGUUGGGAGGAAGGGCAGUAAGUUAAUACCUUGCUGUUUUGACGUUACCGACAGAAUAAGCACCGGCUAACUUCGUGCCAGCCGCCGCCGUAA